CAAAUCUCCUCAAGACACCGGAUUAAAGAAGGAAAAGGUUUAUUUGGCCAGGAGCGUCAGCAGAUUUGUGUCUUAAGACCCGAGCUCCCCGAAAAAGAAAUUCUUGGCCUUUUUAAAGGCUUACAACUUUAAAGGGUCCACGUGAAAGUGUCGUGAUAAAUCGAGCAAGCAUGGGGAAGGUGAGUGGGGGCUACAUGCAUCAGCUAACAGAACAGAAAGCUUUGCAAUGCUUUUUCAUACAAGGUCUGGAAUUUACAGAUAACACAAGUAGUUUAGGUCAGGGGUUGAUGUCAUUAUUAUUAUUAUUUUUAACUCCUGUGGCAGGUGGUGGUGCCAAGGUGUCUGGCUACUUAUCUUACUUUUGUUUCUAAAUUUUUGCUUUCUCUCUUUCCUCCUGUCUUGUGAACUAGGCAAGAUGGUGGGAGGAGGGCAGCCGGAGUAGUAGUGGUCUCCUUCGUUAGUUCAGGUUCCAGCUACAAACACUUACCACCUGUGAGACCUUGGGCAGUUCACAUCCCCUCUCUGUGGCUCAGUCUGCUCAACUGUAAAAUAGGUUAAAUCCUGAAAGAUCAAAA
rnacentral:lncRNA from 1 species